ensembl:lncRNA
AAUACAACUGUGGGUGAUGAUCAGUUACUUUGGUAAUUUACCCACUGCAAAAUAAUUUGUAUUUGUUAAAUGUAUUUAUUUUUUUAUUAAUUAUGAGCAUAAUAUGGAUACAUAUAAAAUUAACAUUAGAGCCCAUAUCUUUGAGUCCUAUAUUUGAAGCUGCAUAUAUUGCGAGAAGGGUCUGGUGCAAACAGUUAUUUUCAGGUACAGUACAAUUAUCACCUUGUGUUAUUUCAUUGGGUUGUUUUUUGUUUUGUUUUUUUCAGUGACCGUUGAGUGACCAAGUUACUUUGAGACCAUUUUACAAGUCCUACAGUGCGAAAUUGUUUUAAUAUGUGGCUGGUCUCCUUACCUUAAAAGGGAGCUGAAUUUUUUUUUUAUUGUUUUAUAAACUCAUAGAAACAAACACUUGUUAAAUAUGUCAACCUCCCCUCUAUCGUUGCAGUACAACCACUAACCGCUAGAUGGAGUCAUUGCUCUCAGUCGGAACCCACAGAGUUUGGGCUUGAAUAUACUGCAUUUGGAAGUUUCAUCUCUGCGAUGUUUUUGUCAUCGAUUAUUCCGAUAUUUGGACUUGAUGAGCAGCUACACAUAGAAGUAAAAAAAACAACAAAAAACCUUUCGAGUGCUUGCUCGAGAGAGACCCACACCAAAGCACACCACAAUCCUCUCUACUACAAUACAAAGUAGCCAGCAAUAACCACCAUCUUUCCUGAUCGCUCUUAUUUCCCCACAUUGAGGCCCGCAGCCACGGACCGACCCGCUGACCUCUGAGCGCCCUCAGUCUUCCGUGCGAGGACGGCGAAAGCACACCUGAUGAAGUCCACGCACUAACUGAAGGCCGAGUACACCUGACGCCCCGCUUCUCCCCUCUCUAAGCGUCACAGUUCGCAGGUUGUAAAUGCAGUUUGUGACCGCGGGUCUUUGUGGUAGACGGAGGAAGGUAAAAAAAAAAAAACCGUGCCAUUUGAAUGUCCACUGACCAUCUCUGUUAACUGCGGGGGGGCUUCAGACCCUUCGACCCCUCACUGUACCCACCGGAAAAACGUUGUUUAUCUGCAGCUGCUACAAGUCAUGCAAUAAAAAAAAAGCUGUACCAUUAAACUGCGGCUGGAGUCGUUCUGGUUGAAUGGAAGCUGUGCGUGUGGAAAGUGUUGCAGGGAAAUAAAAGGGGACGGGGAGGCGGGGGAGUGGGAGGGGCUUCUUCACCCGGAGCGGCAGCAGCGGCAGCGCGCGGACCUCAGCACGCGCUCCUUGUCUGUACCUACCGGUGCUUUUUAUGCAGAUUCGUUUUUUUUGUUUUUGUUUUUCCACGGGACGUUUAAUCUCUCAGGUUCCCCUUUCUUGAACCCUGCUGUGAGGGAAAUGAGUCACCGUCGCUAAGGAAGUGAGACGGCGUGCGGUCGCGUGUAAGUCACAGGGUGCGCUCGGCCUUCGCUCAGCAGACCUCUCAAGGCGCUCGGAAACCCGUGAGCGCGGUUUUUUUUUUUUGGGCGUUGGAGCUUCUGCAGAAAGGCGUUCAAACGUGGAGAAAUCCAGAGAGAGGAAAGCUCAACGGCACAGAGUGGAGUGGGAGGAAUACAAUUGUACCGUUUGCUUAAAAUAUUCGGAAACUUCCUGUUACCAAAACGUGGCGCAAUCUGCUGUAGAAUAACUGACAGUCGGACGCAUACACAAACACACACACGCGCACACACGCACAGACUGACUUCCGCAACAGGUUUGCAGAGGCUGCUUAGACAUGUUGCAUUUUCUCUCCUUUUUCCUUUGUUGAGAGGACAGUAAUCCAGAGCUCAUCUUGAGGGGAAAUCGAGCGAGGCGUGUACUGAAUGUACAGACAAGCUUCUAUUGAUUUGUAGCAGUGAAUGAAGAUCCACCGACCCGAUCUAACAGGAACAAAACGGUUCCUCAAUGCGAGCCGGUUGCCGGGUGAUGCUGCGGUUCCCUGUUACACUGUGAGCUGUGAUUUGUGAGGCUUCCAUCUUUUCAACCUGUUGUCGAAUCAGCGUGACCACAUGAAUAUAUCCUUCAAACACAUAUUGCAGAGCCUUCUGUCUGCUUCUCCUUGCCAUCUCUCUUUUUUCCUUCAUUUUUUUUUUUUUUUUCAAAUACUUGAUCAUUUAUAUUCAGUUACUGCAGUAAAUGUGGUCUCCAUGGUAGCUCCGACAGAUUCGAUGGUGAUGGGGGAGGGGGGCUUAACUCAGGGUAAUGCAGGUAGGCAGAAAUCUGUUCUCCAUCAAGCUGGCCAAACAGUUAUUUCCUUUCCCUUCUCUGUUGCUUGAUUUGGUUAAGAUGGUUUCUGUUGGUCCCACGUUGUUCAGCAGCAGAUUCUAAAACAAAAAUGGACAACUAACAAGAGUUAUAAACAACUAGGUGGAUGGAAAGCUUUCCCAAAUACAGCAGGAAACCGAUGUCGUAGGAAUUAAAGGAUAUUCUAUACCCGUCUUAUAUGAGCACUGUAGUUGAACUAACAUGCACUGUCUCACAUGGCUGGAAAUGAUACGAAAUGGACUUUUUAACUUUUCAGCUGUGUGAGUAACAUUCAAUAAUAUGAUUUUGUUGUUACAUUAAUGUAUUCAGGAAGAACAAAUAAUGAGCCAAGUGAGAAAGACUUUGGGGAUUGUCAUUGGAUAACUUAAGACGAAACAAAUACUCAAUCUAAUUCCAUCUAUAUCAUUUUAAAAGUACUAAGACGAGACGGCCACUCCCAGAGCUUUCAACAGGCCUUUUUUUGUAGUGUAAUCGCCUGUUUUGUCAGCUUACUUUAGAGUCAACAAUAAUGAUCUGUUGAAUCUGCGAAUACAAUGGUCUGAUCCUCGCUGGGCUCACAUCCUCCUCACGCG